rnacentral:rRNA from 1 species
GCGAGAAAUAUAAAGUUGUUGUUAUGCCUCUUUGAACAAUUAUCGGGGUUAAAGAUUAAUUUUCAUAAGAGCGAAUUGUUCUGCUUUGGUAGGGCUAAAGAUGAACAGGACUCUUAUAGGCAACUGUUUGGGUGCGAGUUGGGAAGUCUGCCCUUUUCCUACCUUGGCAUUCCGAUUCAUCAUCGUAGGCUAACAAACAGAGAGUGGAAGUGUAUCGAGGAUCGAUUUGAAAAGAAACUGAGCUGCUGGAAGGGUAAGCUCAUGUCAUAUGGAGGCCGGUUAGUUUUGAUAAACUCGGUACUCACGAGUAUGCCUAUGUUCCUCUUAUCGUUCUUUGAAGUUCCAGUGGGAGUGAGGAAAAGACUGGACUUCUAUCGAUCACGCUUCUUUUGGCAGGGUGAUGAGCUUAAAAGAAAAUACCGGCUUGCUAAGUGGGAUAUCAUCUGUCGACCCAAAGACCAAGGCGGGCUUGGCAUUGAGAAUCUUGAGGUUAAGAACAGAUGCCUUCUUAGUAAGUGGUUGUGGAAGCUC